AUUGAACGCUGGCGGCAUGCCUUACGCAUGCAAGUCGAACGGCAGCACGGGUGCUUGCCCCUGGUGGCGAGUGGCGAACGGGUGAGUAAUACAUCGGAACAUGUCCUGUAGUGGGGGAUAGCCCGGCGAAAGCCGGAUUAAUACCGCAUACGAUCUACGGAUGAAAGCGGGGGACCUUCGGGCCUCGCGCUAUAGGGUUGGCCGAUGGCUGAUUAGCUAGUUGGUGGGGUAAAGGCCUACCAAGGCGACGAUCAGUAGCUGGUCUGAGAGGACGACCAGCCACACUGGGACUGAGACACGGCCCAGACUCCUACGGGAGGCAGCAGUGGGGAAUUUUGGACAAUGGGCGAAAGCCUGAUCCAGCAAUGCCGCGUGUGUGAAGAAGGCCUUCGGGUUGUAAAGCACUUUUGUCCGGAAAGAAAUCCUUGGCCCUAAUACGGUCGGGGGAUGACGGUACCGGAAGAAUAAGCACCGGCUAACUACGUG
rnacentral:rRNA from 1 species